rnacentral:lncRNA from 1 species
GUCUUGUUCGUUGCCAUAUAUAGGGGACCUGGCUAGCAAUAGCGUGCAAGAAACAUGAGAGAACUCAGCAGUUAGUUUAACCUAGCUUCUUUCAAUCUUAAUGCCAUGGUAGACUUUUGUUUGUAAGACUAUUGACCGUAACCAUCAUCAUCAUUGAAGCCUCGUAUGAGAAAGUAAAUAUGUGUUGCAGAAUACUUGUUUGUAAAGUGAUGCUACAUCUACGCUCUUAUUUCAAUUUUUUUAGGAGAAAAUAAAAG